GCCGCUGCCGCCACCCGGGUUCGCUGUGCGUGCGCGCUGUGCUGCGCUCUGGCGAGGAGGGCGCCCCUUUCCGCUUUUAUGGCUCGGUGGCGGACCACGUUGAGAACAACAACAGCUUGGUCCGAAGCCAGCAACAACUUGUGCUUCUUGGAGCCCCUUUCCCGGCUGCUGGCUUCCCAGACCGCGACUCCCCGGCGCCGACACGCUCUUAGUCGUGCGCCCCAGACAGGGCCCAAGCCCGCGGGCCAGCGCAGAGGCGGCCUGCGCCCAGGAAAGGCUCCGCAGAAGGGAAUGGAGGGACGCACCCCAAGCUGCGGGAGCGUGAGAGGAGGGGGGCACCCCGUUUGGGGGCGAAUAGCGCGGGCCCGGGGGGAGGCCCCACCGCGCGGGUUUUGGCGGCAGGCAGCCGAAAGUGUCCCCUGGGUCCCCGAGCCUUUACCGGGCCCAGGGGGCCCCGGGCCUACCCACGGGAGCGGAUUUAAUUUGUCCCAACUAACACAGGGCACGCCCUCACGUGGUCGGCUGGGGCAACGUGAAGUGCUCCAGAACUACUUCGAGGGGCGUCUCCGCCUGAUCCAAAGAGGAGAGCGGCUGGGACGCCUUCCAGCCGUGCUUCUGGGGUCUUGUUAAGCCUCGGGGGCCUGGCGCAACCCCCUGAGGGGAAAGGAGGGGGCCGUAAGAUCCAAGGUGACCCGUCCAGUCCUGGGGCUCCAAACACCAUCCAUACGUUGAUGACUCCCAGCUUCUCUCUGCAACCCUGAUUUCUCUCUGCAAGAGACCCCCACAGCCCACCGUGACUGGCUGGUUCACGAGGAUGUCCGAGGUGCACCUCUCUUUCCAGGCAUGAUUGAAAAGCAGCUGUGAAUUUUCUCUUAUAAACACACUCGUCCCCUAGACUUUACAAACAGUUCUAAUCAGAAACAUGGGGGUUCCCUCCCUGUUUUUUUUUUUUUUUCACUCACCCUCUUAUCCAGUCCUCCGCUCCUGACAGGUAUACCCCCAAAUACACCCCAGAUCUCUCCCCCGGCUCCCACCCCCAAGCCGCCAUGUUUCCCACCUUCCCUCUAGCCUCUCUAGGCCUCUCUGCAAAGGAAAGAGAGUUUCUAAGCCUAGCAUCUGCUUGGGUGCUGCCUCUGCUUAAAGGCCUCCGAUGGCUUCUCAUCGGAUUUAGGAUAAAGUUUGCGGACUGACAGUGGCCUUUUUGUUCCUCACACGUGCCCAGAGGGCUCCAAGGCCUCAGGGCCUUUGCACUUGCUUUUGGGAAAAGUUCUGCCACCACUGCCAGCUCUCUCCCCACCCCACCCCACCCCACCCCAGCCACACUCAUUUUAUUCAGGUCACAAUCCAGAAAUCCCUAAUCCUAAUCCCUGGAAUUCCUACCACAUUGCCCUGCUUUAUUUUCUUCAUAGCACUUAUCAUUAUCUGGCCCUAUUUGUCUAUGCCCUUGUGCACCGUGAGCUCCGUAAGAACUGGGGCUAGCUGGGACUGCCUUGCUGUCUGCUGUAUUCAUUCAUUCCGAAGCCGGUUUGGGUUUGGCCUCAGCUCUCUCAUACACUCCAUGUACGAUCUACCUGCUCUCCCAAACAGCCCAGCCUUUAUCCAUGUGUAAAAAAAAAAAAAAAAAAAAAAAAAAAAAAAAAA